UACAGAGGGUGCGAACGUUUGUUCGGAUUUACUGGGCGUAAAGCGCGUGUAGGCGGUCCGGUAAGUCCGCUGUGAAAGUCGGGGGCUUAACCCUCGGAUGCCGGUGGAUACUGUCGGGCUUGAGUACGGAAGAGGCGAGUGGAAUUCCUGGUGUAGCGGUGAAAUGCGCAGAUAUCAGGAGGAACACCAAUUGCGAAGGCAGCUCGCUGGGACGUUACUGACGCUGAGACGCGAAAGCGUGGGGAGCAAACAGG
rnacentral:rRNA from 1 species